rnacentral:rRNA from 1 species
AUACGGAGGGGGCUAGCGUUGUUCGGAAUUACUGGGCGUAAAGGGCGUGUAGGCGGUUCGAUCAGUCAGGCGUGAAAGCCCUGGGCUCAACCCAGGAACUGCGCUUGAUACUGUCGAACUUGAGUUCGGGAGAGGGUAGUGGAAUUCCCAGUGUAGAGGUGAAAUUCGUAGAUAUUGGGAAGAACACCAGUGGCGAAGGCGGCUACCUGGACCGAUACUGACGCUGAGGCGCGAAAGCGUGGGGAGCAAACAGGAUUAGAAACCCCAGUAGUCC